GGUGCUGUGGCAUAGCAGGUAAAGCCUCUGCCUGCAGUGGCGGCAUUCCAGAUGGGUGCCGGUUCAUGUCCUGCCUGCUCCA
rnacentral:tRNA from 1 species